AUUGAACGCUGGCGGCAUGCUUUACACAUGCAAGUCGAACGGUAACAGGCCUUCGGGUGCUGACGAGUGGCGAACGGGUGAGUAAUGCAUCGGAACGUACCCAGAGGUGGGGGAUAACGCAGCGAAAGCUGUGCUAAUACCGCAUGUGAUCUGAGGAUGAAAGCGGGGGACCGAGCAGCAAUGUUUGGCCUCGCGCCUUUGGAGCGGCCGAUGUCGGAUUAGCUAGUUGGUGGGGUAAAGGCCUACCAAGGCGACGAUCCGUAGCUGGUCUGUGAGGACGACCAGCCACACUGGGACUGAGACACGGCCCAGACUCCUACGGGAGGCAGCAGUGGGGAAUUUUGGACAAUGGGCGCAAGCCUGAUCCAGCAAUGCCGCGUGCGGGAAGAAGGCCUUCGGGUUGUAAACCGCUUUUGGCAGGAACGAAACGGUGUCCGCUAAUACCGGGCGCUAAUGACGGUACCUGCAGAAUAAGCACCGGCUAACUACGUG
rnacentral:rRNA from 1 species